AUUGAACGCUGGCGGUAUGCUUAACACAUGCAAGUCGAACGAUGAGAAAGAGUUUGCUCUUUCGAUUAGUGGCGGACGGGUGCGUAACGCGUAGGAAUCUACCUAUUAGUGGGGGACAACUUAGGGAAACUUAAGCUAAUACCGCAUACGCCCUACGGGGGAAAGAAGGGGAUCGCAAGACCUUUUGCUAAUAGAUGAGCCUGCGUAGGAUUAGCUAGUUGGUGGGGUAAAAGCUCACCAAGGCGACGAUCCUUAACUGGUUUGAGAGAAUGAUGAGUCACAAGGGAACUGUGACACGGUCCAGACUCCUACGGGAGGCGGCAGUGGGGAAUAUUGGACAAUGGGCGAAAGCCUGAUCCAGCAAUACCGCGUGUGUGAAGAAGGCCUUAGGGUUGUAAAGCACUUUCAAUUGGAAGGAAAACCUCGAAGCUAAUACCUUCGAGUUUGACAUUACCUUUAGAAGAAGCACCGGCUAACUCCGUGCCAGCCGCCGCGGUAAAAC
rnacentral:rRNA from 1 species